CGUCCUUUCGCGUCGUGGUUAGCGUUCCUGCCUGCCAACUAUAGGAAUUCGGGUUCAAAUCCCGGACAGGAUGA